UCUCUUUGGACAGACAGAGCUCUCAGCUUCUCCAGGUUAUUAGGAGCAAAGGUGGAGUUCUCUGUGUAAAAACUAAGGACACUAUUAAAGUUAUGGAUCAGAGUUUGGACAUAGACAUCAGAAGAGAGUGCCUGCUGAAGUGCCUAAUCACGUACCCAUGGUGAAGAUGCAAGAUGUCUGAUCAAAGAAUACCAGGCUGACCAGAGGGAGAAGCGGAGAGAGAAUUUGACCACCAUGGCAUUUUUUGUGAUCCGUGAAACUGAUGCUCCUAGUCGUGCACUGGACAUUGUCAUGGACGGUGUGGAAGUACUAAUUGAGUUGCCCUCUUUUGCACAUGCCUGUGCCAUCAUGUUUGGACUCAUUUAUGCACUGAACUUAAAAUAUCCUGAAGAACUCAAAUAUAUCAUUGAGGCCUUUCAAAAAAAUAAUCAUGGACAUCGAGAGUAAGCAGAUGAGCCGAAGGGUGCAGAACCUCUCUUCAAAGCUGCUGGAGUAAAUUUGUUUCCUUUGACUCAGCCACAAUAUUCUACUGAUGGUAAGUUUCUUUAAAGAUGUUGUACUGUUUUAAGCCUUUUAUACAAAGUUAACUGUACUACUGUUUACUUAACAAUAUUUGUUUUAUCUUGGUUAAGUUGUGUUUCAUCUAGGGUAAAUUAAAUAGUUUACCCAAAAAUG